GUCUACCGCCAUACCACCCUGAACGCGCGCGAUCUUGUCUGAUCUCGGGAGCUAAGCAGGGUUGGGCCUGGUUAGUACUUGGAUGAAAGUGUGUUUCAGUUGAUCCCAGAUGUGGCAACUG
rfam:Nomascus leucogenys chromosome 15, whole genome shotgun sequence.